CAACCAUCUCCACCAUCCAUGCUCCUCCAGUGCCCUGACAAGCUCUGUUAUCUUCUCCUGUACCUCCUUCAAUUCCUCUCCCCCAAUAUCUGAACACCGGAACGACGGGGAGCGGGCAGAAGAGGUGCCUGCUGGUGGUGAUGGCCUCCUCGUCGAUUGCGGUGGCGCAGACGACGUCAACGGGCGGGGCCAACCAAUCGAGGGCGACAUCCAAGGACCUCAUCACGCUCAACGGUUCCGCCGCCUUAUUUCUUCAGUUACGCGGCAAACGGGAGCGGCACUGUCAUGAAAUCCAUGAGCGAAGACAUCCAAAAUGAUUAUUCCAACCAUAGAUUGCUGGCUGCAAUGCGUGACCAUUUCGGGUCAGUAAAUUGUGUGAGAUGGGCUAAGCAUGGGCGCUAUCUUGCUUCAGUAUCAGAUGAACAAGCAUUCAAGCUAUCCUAAUUCAUUGAAAGGAAAGCUGGUUCUGGUACAUCUGAGUUUGGAUGUGGAAGAGAGGAUAAAUACAAGCUACUUCUACAGCCUUCUUACUUUCAGAGGAGUGGACUGCCAUCAUAUAUGGGAUAAAAUUAUUCCUAAUAAGCAUUGAGUAUUCCUUUGGCUAGCUUUCAGAGGAAGAUUAAAUACCAAGGACAACAUGAUCAAGAAGAGCUGGACUGCCGUCGUUCAGCAUGAUGGAUGUGAUAUUUGCCCGCUGCUGAAACCGUUAGCCACAUCAUGCUGAGAUGCAAAUUAUCUGAUGUUAUUUGGCAGAAGGCUGGACUUUGGGCAUCGGCCAAAUCAUCCCGAGUAAUUACUGAGUUUUUUCUCUCAGCUGCGGAUUGUAAUUUAUUUGGUAAGCUUUGGCACAUCUUCUUCGCAGCAUGCUCGGUCUCUUUGUGGACGGCUUGGAACGCUAGAGUGUUUGACAACUGUUUUUGGUCUGUGGCUCGAAUGCUCGCUGAGUUGGCUGAACUCAUCACACUCUGGAGCUCGCAUGCUGUCAGAGAGGAAGACCGACAUACUAUGUUGUCUUGGGCAAAUUCACUGAGAUAGUUGUUGAUCACCGAAACUUAUUUCUUUCUCUCUUUCUUUUGCCUUUCGCCUUUGUAAAGCAUCCUGUUCAGCGGUCUGGUGAUAACCGGUCACACUGUUUUGUGUGGCGCUAAUAUCACCUUCAUGUAAUUGACUCCGGUCACCCAGGCUCACGCAUGCUUUGAAUGCAUAAGGUAGAAAGCGAUAAUACCUUUUUAUUCAAAAGAAAAAGAGUUUGGAUGUGGAGAGCCCGCAGAUGUAGAAAAUUGGAAGGUCGUUAUGGCCUCAACCCUCAAGGAGGCAUGCUUAGGAUGUGCUGCAGAAGACGGAUGCGAAGAUGUCGAGCAUGUGGCCCUGCGCACAAGAGAAUACAGUGAGUCCAUACAAUCCAAUUUCCUUACUCUGUAGACUCCAGGUGCCUCUUGAUUCACCUUUUUUUACAUUCCAUAGAAGAUAAGGAAAGACAUGUUUUUCAGUUUUGAUGUGCCAUGAACUUACAAUUUUUUUACUGGAACUAUACAAGGCUUCAAAAUUCAGUUAUCAGAAUAUGAAUUAAUCCUAGAUAACAUAUGCUAUUGGUCUGGCAGCUUACUGCCAUAAAAGUUGUGCUCUGAAGGGGUGCGAGGACUGCUAGGGAUGUACAGGGUAUGACACGUGGAGAGGGUGCUUCCAAUUGGUAAUUCAAACUCCGGAAAACACAAAUUCUCUCACAUUAUUACAGGAAGUGUUGCUAAAUCACGACAGUUUAGAAGUACGUUACUGAAUGUACUGAACCACAUGUUACUAGUGAUCAUGAAUUGUGGAAACUUGAUGAUAU